CUACGGGUUGCAGCAGUGGGGAAUAUUGGACAAUGGGGGAAACCCUGAUCCAGCAAUGCCGCGUGUGUGAAGAAGGCCUGCGGGUUGUAAAGCACUUUCGGUUGGGAGGACUGCUUCUAGCACUAAUAUUGUUGGAAGUUGACGUUACCUUCAGAAGAAGCACCGGCUACUCCGUGCCAGCAGCCGCGGUAAUACGGAGGGUGCAAGCGUGAAUCGGAAUUACUGGGCGUAAAGCGCGCGUAGGCGGCUAGAUCAGUCGGGUGUGAAAGCCCCGGGCUUAACCUGGGAACUGCAUCCGAUACUGUCUAGCUAGAGUACAGGAGAGGAGAGUGGAAUUCCACAUGUAGCGGUGAAAUGCGUAGAUAUGUGGAGGAACACCAAUGGCGAAGGCAGCUCUCUGGCCUGAUACUGACGCUGAGGUGCGAAAGCGUGGGGAGCAAACAGGAUUAGAUACCCUCGUAGUC
rnacentral:rRNA from 1 species